AUGGAUAUGCAACCACAAGUAAUCUGCUGGAAUGUUAGGGGCCUUAACAAUCCAGCGAAGCGUAAGGCCGUUCGAGACUUUGUUAGCACGGUGAAAGUGAACUUGGCGUGUCUACAGGAGACGAAACUUGAUGUAAUUGAUCAAUAUAUGGUAAUGCAAUGUUUGGGGCCAUCGUUUGAUGGUCAUGCUUAUUUGCCGGUGGUUGACACGCGGGGUGGGAUUUUGUUGGCAUGGGAUAGCACAGCCCUCACCGUGGACAAUGUUGUGCUCAAUGGCAACUUUCUCACCGGGUUGGUGCACACAAAAGUUGGGCAACCUUGGUGGAUUACGGUGGUGUAUGGCCCACAAGGGGAUGAGCUUAAAACCCAGUUUUUGGAGGAUCUCAAGAACCGGAGGGUCGGAUGCCUUGGACCGUGGAUGGUCCUGGGUGACUUUAAUAUGAUCAUCAGAGCGACAAACAAGAAUAAUACCAACAUAAAUCGGAGGAUGAUGAGCAAGUUUCGAGACUUUGUGGAUGAGCAUGAGCUCAAGGAGAUGUACAUGCACGGCAGGAGGUACACUUGGUCUAACGAGAGAGAUGCCCCGACCCUGACGAAGAUUGACAGAAUUCUCACCACAGUAGAUUGGGAGUUAGAUAAUGCAGAAUACCUGCUUUAG
rnacentral:rRNA from 1 species